AGGCUUAUCGGGCCCAAGAGUUCACAUCGACGGCCCGGUUUGGCACCUCGAUGUCGGCUCGUCGCAUCCUGGGGCUGGAGUCGGUCCCAAGGGUUGGGCUGUUCGCCCAUUAAAGCGGUACGCGAGCUGGGUUUAGAACGUCGUGAGACAGUAAGGGAAUUGCUGUCUAUAAAUCUGGCCAAAUGCUGGAAAAUCCGGUGAAUCCCUCACUACCGUCAGCACGCCGUUAAGGCGAUUCCAAUCGCCACGAUAGGCGGCUACGGUGACAACGUGAAGGGCGCGGACGAUCAGCAGGAAAGGCUGGAUGGCUACAUCGCCGGCUACGUAGACGGCGAAGGGAGCUUCUCUGUCACGGUAAACCGCAACCCGACGUCAAGGUUCAGGUUGCAGCUCGUUCCUGAAUUCCAUGUCAGCCAGAACGGCGACAGGAGGGAAGUGCUGGACUUGAUCCAACGGCGGCUUCAGUGCGGAUACAUCAAACGCAAUGGCAGGAAGGACCAGGUAAUGGUCUUCGUGGUCAGACGCCGCGAGGACUUGCUGAAAAAGGUCAUCCCAUUCUUCGAACGAACACCGCUGAUCUCGUCGAAACAAAGCGAAUUCGAGACGUUUGCCACGGUCGUCAGAGCGAUGGCCGCCGGCGAACAUCUCCGCGAACCGGGUUUCAGCCAGAUCCUGGAACUCGGGUUGUCCAUGAAUGGAAAUGGACGCUUUCGACAGGUGAGAUGGCGGUCGCUAGUCAGCCAUCCGGAAUCCUCAGAGACUGUACGCCAGACGGGCUUGCCGCCCGAAGAUACAGUCCGAGCUGCAUGGCGACAUGCAGAGCUGGGCAGAAAUGAUCCGGCCUCGUGAUCAGUCGGUCGCGAGUAACAAAACUGUCGGUCCCUAUCCGCCGUGGGCGCAGGAGACUUGAGGAGAGUUGACCCUAGUACGAGAGGACCGGGUUGAACGGCCCGCUAGUGUACCGGUUGUCACGCCAGUGGCAGCGCCGGGUAGCCAUGGCCGGUUUGGAUAAGCGCUGAAAGCAUCUAAGUGCGAAGCCAACUCCAAGAUAAGGUCUCCCACCGGGUUAACCGGGUAAGGGCCCUGCUAGACCAGCAGGUUGAUAGGCCGGAGGUGUAAGAGGAGCAAUCCUUUGAGCUGACCGGUACUAAUAGCCCGAGGGCUUGUUCACCUAUAAC
rnacentral:rRNA from 1 species